UACGUAAAAGACUAGUGUUAUUCAUCUUUAAUAGGUUUAAAGGGUACCUAGACGGUAUUAUUAGCCCAAAAUAGGGGUACUAUUUUUACUAGAGUUUUUAUAUGAGAAGGAAGUAUUUUUAUGGAGGAGAGAUAAAAAUAUUAUGAUACCUUAAAGACUGGCAAUGGCGAAAGCAACCUUCUAUCUAAUAACUGACGUUGAGGGACGAAGGCCUGGGAGCAAACAGG
rnacentral:rRNA from 1 species